AGGAUGUGCUUCAAGUUAAGUUGUUACUCAGCAGAAAACAUAUUCAGGAUGCUGCUUGCUAUUUGUGUGUUUUGUUUUGUUUGAGACGAGGUCUCGCUCUGUCACCCAGGCUGGAGUGCAGUGGCGUGAUCUCAGCUCACUGCAACUUCCGCCUUCCGGGCUUAAGCAAUCUUCCCACCUCAGCCUCCCAACACUUUGGGAGGCUGAGGUGGGAGGAUUGCCUGAGACUAGGAAUUCAAGACAUGCUUGGGCAACAUAGCUAGCAAGACCCUGUCUCCACAAAAAAAAUUUAAAAAUUAGCCUGGCAUGGUAGUGCACACCUGUAGUCAUAGCUACUCAGAGGCUGAAGCAGGAAGACCGCUUGAGCCCAGGAGUUUGAGGCUGCAGUGGGCCAUAAUCAUGGCACUGUGCUCCAGCCUGGGCAACAGAGUGAGACCCUGUCUCAAAAAAAAAAAAAAAAUGGGGCUGAUAUCGGUAAGAAACCUGCUUGUGAUGUGCAGAGACUGCCUGUGGACACCUGUGCUGCCGUCAUCAGUGUGGGAGAGGAGGAUGGGGGACCAGGAGAUGGGGAACAAGACAGAUGUUCUUUUUCCUUCGUGCUCUUGUGUUUCUCGAGUUUUCUGCCCGUGUGCACAAAUUGUCCCCUGGGUUCGUCUAACAGCUCUCCUUGGUGUCCCUGCAGGAUGAAAUUGAGUUUGGCUACAUCGAGGCCCCCCACAAAGGCUUCCCCGUGGUGCUGGACUCCCCCCGAGAUGGAAACCUGAAGGACUUCCCUGUGAAGGAGCUCCUGGGCCCAGAUUUUGGCUACGUGACCCGGGAGCCCCUCUUUGAAUCCGUCACCAGCCUUGACUCGUUUGGAAACCUGGAGGUCAGUCCCCCAGUGACCGUGAACGGCAAGACAUACCCGCUUGGCCGCAUCCUCAUCGGGAGCAGCUUUCCUCUGUCUGGUGGUCGGAGGAUGACCAAGGUGGUGCGUGACUUCCUGAAGGCCCAGCAGGUGCAGGCACCCGUGGAGCUCUACUCGGACUGGCUGACUGUGGGCCACGUGGAUGAGUUCAUGUCCUUUGUCCCCAUCCCCGGCACAAAGGUAAGCUAGCCCCCUGAGGCUGGAGUGAAUGGGGUAGCGGCAAACCCAUAUAUUACCAGCCUCUGCCAGCAGAGGGCAAGAGCUAGAGGAACCGGACAGCAUAAAGGAAGGAGGAAAUAGGCUGAAGCUGGUUUGCAUGUUGUUGCUGUGGCUGGUAAAAUUUUAACCCCAUAAAUCCAAAACGUUAGCAUUUCAACACAUAAUCAACCUAAAAAUUAUUAACGAGAGAUUUAAAUUCUUUUCUCAUACUAAAUCUUCAAAAUCUGGCAAGGAUUUUACUCAUAUGACACAUCUCAAUUCAGACUAGCCACAGCUCAAGUGUUCAAUAGUCACACAAGGCUAGUGGCUACUGUGUCGGUGGUAAUGCUCUAGAGAGAAAUAGCGUAUGCGCCUGUGGCACUGGAAAGAGGUUCUUUCAUUUUCUUAUGGGUACAACUUCAUCCCCUGGAAAUUCUCUGCAAAUUGUGUGGCUGCUUGGCAACUUGGAGAAGUCCCUCUCCAAGGCCACCUUUGGCUUUGAGCUUUGACCUGGUGACAUUGCUGAGGUAGAGGAAAGGUGAGAAAUAUUCCUCUGAAGCAGAGAACACCCUCCCCGUCAGCCUUUGCCACUCGGCAUGGGAGGCCUGAGGCGAUGAGCAGGCAAGGCGCUGGGUCCUCAGUGCAGGGCCUCCCCCGUGCUCAUUGGCUGCCUUCCCACUGCUGACUCUGUCCCUCUGGACUGUCUCUUGCAGAAAUUCCUGCUGCUCAUGGCCAGCACCUCGGCCUGCUACAAGCUCUUCCGAGAGAAGCAGAAGGACGGCCAUGGAGAGGCCAUCAUGUUCAAAGGCUUGGGUGGGAUGAGCAGCAAGCGAAUCACCAUCAACAAGAUUCUGUCCAAUGAGAGCCUCGUGCAGGAGAACCUGUACUUCCAGCGCUGCCUGGACUGGAACCGUGACAUCCUCAAGAAGGAGCUGGGACUGACAGAGCAGGACAUCAUUGACCUGCCCGCUCUGUUCAAGAUGGACGAGGACCACCGCGCCAGAGCCUUCUUCCCAAACAUGGUGAACAUGAUCGUGCUGGACAAGGACCUGGGCAUCCCCAAGCCGUUCGGGCCACAGGUUGAGGAGGAAUGCUGCCUGGAGAUGCACGUGCGCGGCCUCCUGGAGCCCCUGGGCCUCGAAUGCACCUUCAUCGAUGACAUUUCUGCCUACCACAAAUUUCUGGGGGAAGUCCACUGUGGCACCAACGUCCGCAGGAAGCCCUUCACCUUCAAAUGGUGGCACAUGGUGCCCUGACCUGCCAGGGGCCCUGGUGUUUGCCUCCUUCCCUUAGUUCUCCAGACCCUCCCUCACACGCCCAGAGCCUUCUGCUGACAUGGACUGGACAGCCCCGCUGGGAGACCUUUGGGACGUGGGGUGGAAUUUGGGAUAUCUGUGCCUUGCCCUCCCUGAGAGGGGCCUCAGUGUCCUCUGAAGCCAUCCCCAGUGAGCCUCGACUCUGUCCCUGCUGAAAAUAGCUGGGCCAGUGUCUCUAUAGCCCUGACAUAAGGAACAGAACACAACAAAACACAGCAAACCAUGUGCCCAGACUGCUCCCCAAAGAAUUUUGAGUCUCUAAUCUGACACUGAAUGAGGGGAGAAGGGAAGGAGAUUCUGGGAUCGCCAGUUCUUCCAGCAGCCAUGCUCUGAAAAUCAAGGUAGAAUCCAUGGAAAGGGACCCCAGGACCCCGGGACCCUAGACGUAUCUUGAACUGCCAUCGUCAUUUCAAAUACAUCUCCCUCAGGGUUUCCAGGUGGUCACCCCCAAUUAUUCAUUCCUUACCAACCUCUCAAGUCCUCUUGGCUUUCUCUCUGCAGUGUGGACACUGUUGGCUAGUCCUCUCCACUCCCUGAGGGUCCAGUAAGUUAGCUUAGAACCUUCCUGGAAACAUUUCAUCUGAGCAGGUUUCCCCACAUGUAGGAUUCUCCUUUUGCCUCAUCUGUCUCAGGGAUGCAGGCUCCCCCACAUGCAUGAGGAUUUCUCCCCAGACCAGCAUACUUGUGACCUGAGAGUUCAAUGUGUAAAGAUGCCCCUGGUCAGCCAUAUCCAUCUUCUCUUGCCUGGUCCUUGAUUCUCUGGCCGCUCCCUGACCUUCCUCCUCCCACUGCCUUCACUUUCUUCCUUUUUAUUCCUGGUGCCAUCUGUCCAGGCAGCUAGACAAGAACUUGUUCACCAGCAGCCAGAUUCAGGCCUUCCCCGGGGCAUAAUAAGUGACCAGCCCCUCCUCUCCGGACAUCAGAUCCAACACAUCAGGACCCUGGCCUGCCCUCCAGCCCAACAGCCAGUUCUGGGUCAGCUGCCAACUUGGGGGUGGUUUGAUUAUCCCAUUGAAAUUCACCAGUGCAUUUGCCAAAGACCCUCUCAUUUGGACAUACCCAGAUUCAUGCCCUGGCUCCAACUGAAAAGACUCAGUUUCCAUCUUUAAAAGUUCCUUCAGGGCCAGAAGAAUAAAUGAAUUAUAACCCCAUUUUGAAGAGCCAAUUUAUAACCAAUGAAAAGGUUAUAAUGUAAUUU
rnacentral:sRNA from 1 species